CGCCGGGACAGAUCGGGGCGCGCGGCGGGACGCUGGAAGGCUGGGGAAGCACUACGCCUGGGCUCUCAGAAACGCGGAUAUUGUCUUUCCCCUCCUGGAAAUAGGAGUAAUUGCAAUGUUCUGUCCCGGUUUUCCCGUGCCACCCGCCCCGCGAUCGUCCUGACAACUCUCUAGCUAACAAGGUAAUGAGCAAGCCAGCCUCCUUUGCUUUAAACAGGUCACGCCUCCCAGUUAGGGUUUGUGGCUGUCAAAGAUAAGAAUAGAAGCCUUGGGACUGGCUGGGAGUGGGCUCCUCUUCCUACAAAUGUAGUCCGGGGAAGCAUUCCGGAGCCAGUGACCAGCUUGACACCAUUUGACUGAUGACCCCCUUGGAGAAAAUUUGUCACUUCAGAGAUGAAAAGAAUUUCUGAUGCGUGGUGCCGUUGUUUACCUAAUUUAUUUUCUGGCGAUCCUGUCUCCCCUUGCACUGCCUCAUUUCCUUUAAGGUUGUAUUAGGCCUUGAGCAGUUUUCCAUCUGUCCUCUUCUACAUCUCCACUUGUAAUAUGUAUGCCUUUGGCCGACAGCACAACGCAUGGAAACCAUUUAACUCUAUCAGAAACAUUUAACCCAUUCUACUAUAUGGACCAUUUCGAAGUUUAUAACGUCAUACAGCAGAGUUCACUCCAAGGUCUUCAUGGUCUAGUAUACUACUUUAUUGGGAAAGAGCCAGCGAAUGAAAGUCAACCUGCACUUCUUUCAAGUAUUGCUCUUUAUGGUGACGGUUAUGCCGUGAAAGCUGCCUAUGGGUACCUGGGAGAAGAGCAGUAAUUCAUGCAGAGCAGGGCUGGAACAGAAAUUGGUUCAAGACGUGAAUGGGAAAAAAACGUGAGAUUGACUCAACUGCAGUUCUGGGUCCAGAGAGCAUCACAACUGUAAUCUUAAUGUGGAAACACAUGAAUGGGGAUAAUAAGCCAGAUAAUAAUGCACAAUAGACAAGAAAAAAAAAAGUUUUCAUAAGCAUAGUAGUGGUGACUAUUGCUUAGUAAAUUGUCUGACUGGGGAGAGAGAGAGAGAGAGAGAGAGAGAGAGAGAGAGAGAGAGAGAGAGAGAGAGAGAGAGAGAAGAGAGGUAGGUGAGGAGGGAGGGAGAGGGAUUAGCAGGACAACAGGGUCUAUUCAUGAAGAAAGCUAGAGGGAAACUAAACACUGCAUGAGCUGUCUUUGCUGCCCAAGGCAUCAACACCCAGGAUUCACCUUGUAAGGCAGGCUGGGGAGCAAGCCUCCCCUUCCACCUGGGCUCCCACCUGCCAUCCUUGCACAGGAUUCUCAGCAUACCAGAGGAAGAGGCUGGAAAGCAGAAGAUUCUGUGGAUGCCUCUAACCCAGCAGAAACAUUGAUCUUGAGUUUGCAGGAGAGGGUCCCAGGUUAGGGAGCUGAAAUGCUUCAGGUGGGAAAGCUGAAAACACUAAUACCCUUUGAUUGUAUGACUCUGAAUUUUUUUAGGUACUGUUUAUUAUGAUAUCUGAAAAAUUCUUAUAAGCAGAUUCACCAUUAGAAACUGUUUUAUGUUAUUUCCUUAUAUUUGUUUCUGAUUUCUAAUUCUUCUGAUGAGGUAUUCCAGAAACCAACUUCAGGAUUCCUUGCCUCCUCCUGAUGUAAUUACCAUGUUUGAAUAAUCUGUUUUGUCUGAUUGCGGUAUUUUUAAAAUUUACCAAAUUAAUGAGUUAAUUUGUUAGUGUUAUCUGUGAGUCGUAUCCAAUGAAGUGGACUUUAAGUUUUUCUGCUCUAUAUUGUCCUAGCACCUAUGUGAUAAUAUGCAUUUCAUUUAAACAAAUAUGUCAUAAAGAACCAGCUAAAUCAUUCCUAAGAACAAUAUCUUGAUAAAGUUUGAGACUAACACUAAACAUAAGUAUAGAUAUAAUUACAGCAAUAGCAAAAGUAAAGCUGCCAGGAGAACAUAUUUGUUCUACUUAAAUAUAUAAUAGGCAAACAACACCAGUAAAAUAGUCGAAGCCACAUUAAACCAGUGCUAUGGGAAGCUGGAAACUGGUUUUUACCAUCUGUCAGCUUCUAUACUGGCAGCCUCACAAAUGAGAUUUCUUUUGAACAAAACAUCACAGCAGGAGCUACAGACAUGUGAAUUGUAAUUAAAAUGUGAAAAUGCAUUUCCCAGUUUUUGUCAUUUAUGGAAAAUAUAUUGUGAGAUCUAGAUUUAUAGAAUUAUAUCAAAUUUAAGCCAUUUUAAUUUUCCAAAUCUACUUCAUCAGAAUUUUGGUGUUAAUAAUGAAUAUGUUUGCCUUUACAAACAAAGUGUGCUUCCCUUAGGUCUGUUUCACUCUCUAAUGAGGGUCAAUUAUUUUCUAAUCAUUCAAGUAUAGAAGAUGAAGAAAAGUAAUUUUCAUAUUCUAUAUAGUCAACGUAGAUCUGCUGAGGACAAAUGUCAUUUCUUUACAUUUACCUAACAGUAUUUUAUAUAAAUAAAAAUAAUAAUUACCUGAAAAUCAUAAAACCAAAUCAGGUCUUUAACCCUAUAACAAAAAUUUUGCCUCCUUUUUAUAUCUGAGAGAAUAAGAAUAUUCUAGUUCAUUAGUUUUUCUGUAUCCAGCAAAACAAGUGCACAACACAUUAUGUGUAACUGUGCUACACACAUUGGAUAAGUGUUCAAGGACAGCAAUAAAGGAUGUGUUCCAAAUUUUUGAUAUAUUAACCAAUGUUGAAAUAGCAUGUUUAUAUUAAAAAAUAUUUAAUCUCCAUUUUUAAUAUAUGACUUUCUAUAAAUUCAGGUUAACUUUAAAGUUAGUCAAUAUUCUUGGCAUUUGUUAUUAUGGAAUUUAUUACAACAUUUGCAUUUUAUAUACAAACAGAUUGGUGCUUCUAACCUACUGAGUGCAACAGUGCUUUUUUUUUUUUCUAGUACAUGGCUUCCAAGUUUCCUCCAAACACUAACAUUAUUAAAACAAGAUUGGGGCUGGAGGGAUGGUUCAGCUGUUAAGAGUGCAUACUGCUCUCACAGAGGACCAGAACUGGUUGACCAGCACCCAUGUCAGGCAGCUCAAAACGGCCAAUAUGUACCCCAGUUCCAGAGGACCCAAUGCCUUCUUCCAGCCUCUGUGUGUACUUGCACUCUUGGGCACACACCCACACACAGAUCCACAGACAUUUACAUGAUUACAAGAAUAAAAAUAAAAUCAUAACUACAUUGGGAAAGGAGUUUGCCACUAAAUCUCAUUUCAGAUACAGCUGUCACCCAUUCCUCAUAUCACAUACCUCUUACACUGUGGUGUGAAAACUAGAAGUGCUAAGGUUUAGGUCUCCUCCACUUGAACUUGACUUUUGUAGAGACUCAGCCAAAGAAAGCUGGUGGAAAUCCUGUGCGAUCUCCUAGCUUCAUACUUUACUAUCCACUUUGUCACUGUGCUCUUAGGAUGUAACUACCUACUAUGACAAAGUAAGUGAAGACCUGACAUCCCAGUAUUCAGCACCAUCUGACAGGUGCCACGUGUGCCAAUUUUGCCAGCUGUCUAUGAGACAGAGCCUCAGUGUCCUCAUCUGUACCCUCCAGUCAGCCACAUGAAGUAGAAAUGAGCUGUGCCAGGUGCUGCUGCUGUGUAAGCAUCUAUCACAAAUAUACAUAGUACUCUAAAGUGAUAGUAGCGGAUAGGACCACAGUUCUGUAGUUGGAAAUCUAGUAAGACCUGGCCAUAUCUCUAUUCAGCCUGAAAGCCGAGUAUUGUACAGACAGCCUCUCGUACCGAGCCUCUGAAGUACAGGGCCACAUCCAAGCUCAUUCUCCCUGGCAGAAUCCUGCUUCUUGUGGUCCAGACAUUGAGACCUUUGUUUCCCAAAUAUGUGGCUCUUCCACUAGCAAGAGAAGCUUCAAAUCUCCACAAUAUACAUCUUUAACUUCCUCUUAUUCCACCAACAAGAGAAAACUCUGCUUUUCAAGGAGUCCUGUGAUUAUGUUAUCAGGUUGAGAAAAAUCUUCUUAUCUUAGGUUGACUGCAAGUAUAAUAUUACUAAUCACCUGAGUAAAAUCAUUAUAUGCACAAGCUCUAUCUACAUUUAAAGUGGGGGUGAAUAUGCAAAAACGAGGGCUAUUAGAGGUUAUCACAUAGUUCUGCCUAUCUCCUUCACCACUGCUUUUAUACUGCACUAGACUUUAAACCAAAGGUGAGCUCAUGAAAGACUUGCUCAUCAUUAUAUUCCAGAAGCACUGUAUUAGGACUGAGGAGUGGUCUUGUCAUUGUAGAUUCACUCUUAUGUUCACAGUUUGUGUGUAAUAUGUGUGUAUUAUUAUUAUUUUUUUUGUCUAAAAGACUUUGUUUUUCUUUAAACCAUU